rnacentral:sRNA from 1 species
GAAGGAUUCUGAGUUCCCAGGAUUUUGCUGUUCUUCAGCUGAUAUUUCUGUAUGCAUUGUUUUGGUUUGAUAGGUGGAAGUUUACUCUUUCUAAUAUUGCCAUUUUUCAGGAUCUUAUUGUGCUCCAUUUUUAUCUGUCAUAUGUGUAAUUUUAUAAUUAUUCUAAUAGUUUCCUCAGUUAAUUUUACUUAGAAUCAUUUAUUGAACUAACGACACAUUGGAGGGAAAGGUAACAUACUGCAUGUUGUGGGGCGGAUUCUUAAAUGUCUGCUUUUGUGAUUACACAUUUCCCCGACUUCUCAUUCUCCAGUGGCAGCCGGUUAGGAGGCCUGGUUACAGUGUUGUGCUUCUUUUUCAAUCAUGGAGAGUGUACCCGUGUAAUGUGGACACCACCUCUCCGUGAAAGCUUCUCAUAUCCAUUUCUUGUUCUUCAGAUGUUGCUUGUGACUCAUAUUCUCAGG